rnacentral:rRNA from 1 species
ACCCGGCUUAACUCCGUGCCAGCAGCCGCGGGUAAUACGGGAGGGUGCGAGCGUUUAAUCGGAAAUUACCUGGGGCGUAAAGCGCAUGCAGGCGGCCUGUUAAGUCAGAUGUGAAAGCCCGGGGCUUAACCUCGGAAUUGCAUUUGAAACUGGCAGGCUAGAGUCUUGUAGAGGGGGGUAGGAAUUUCAGGUGUAGCGGUGAAAUGCGUAGAGAUCUGAAGGAAUACCAGUGGCGAAGGCGGCCCCCUGGACAAAGACUGACGCUCAGAGUCGCGAAAGCGUGGGGAGCAAACCAGGAUUAGAUACCCUCGGUAG